rnacentral:rRNA from 1 species
UACGUAGGGUGCAAGCGUUGUCCGGAAUUAUUGGGCGUAAAGAGCUCGUAGGCGGUCUGUCGCGUCUGCUGUGAAAACUCGGGGCUUAACCCCGGGCCUGCAGUGGGUACGGGCAGACUAGAGUGCGGUAGGGGAGACUGGAAUUCCUGGUGUAGCGGUGAAAUGCGCAGAUAUCAGGAGGAACACCGGUGGCGAAGGCGGGUCUCUGGGCCGGUACUGACGCUGAGACGCGAAAGCGUGGGGAGCGAUCCGG